rnacentral:tRNA from 1 species
UAAGACUUGUGAACGAUUAAUCCACAUCUUCUGAAUGCAACUCAAACACUUUUAUUAAGCUAAAACCUCA